rnacentral:lncRNA from 1 species
CAGCAAAGAAAGUUUUGAUCCACAGUAGUCGGACAGUAUGCCAGCAUCCACCUUGACUAGAUCCGAAAUCUUUAGAUUUGAUCAUCCUUGAUUAUAUAAAAUUAACAUGAUUGGACCGAUCUAGAUCAUAGGAUAUGACUACCAUUCAUCAUAUCUUCCUUGAUUAUUCGUAUCCUUUCUGAUUAUUGGAUUUAAUUGUGUAUGGUGGUGUAAUUAUCUCGACA